AAAUAUCUAAUGUUGUUUCGGUCGCUCGCUUGACUAGCGUAGUAGUCAGGUGUGAAACGCUCACGCGCACAGCCACACAUACAGAGACGGCGCACGUUUCCCUCGCAGAUCUCGCGAUUCGUAGAGCCAUAGGCGUCGUUGGACCAAAAAAACUCUUGUUCGUCGUGUUAAGGGUGGGAGGGGAGAUCGUGUAAGAAUAUCAAACGCAUUGACGUCUUACGCAGCACGGAAGGUAAUUAUUUCGGACGUACUUUGCCGCACGUCUGACCUCGAAAUUAGAAAUUUCGCACGGUUUGGACUGGCGUAGCUCGAAUUUACGUGCGCGACAGAGACAGUAUAGGAGUAAGAUAGCGCGAGACAGCGCGUGUGCGUGCAUACAAGAGAGAGGAGGAUAGAAAGAGAAAGAUAAAGAGAUGCACAGACGGAACAGAUAUUCGCGUGCAAUUCUGCCCCGAUUUGUCACAGGUAUCGGAGAAAGGAUCGGAAGGAGCUCAAUACCACGAGAAUCAUAUCGGAAUACGAAGGGGACCUCGAACGCGCGACACGUGCGACUUCGAAUUAGAAAAAGUAAACACGCGUUCGGCCAGGUGGCGCGGAAUGUCGUUGCUAUAUCGAUGUGCGGACUCCACGCGCGCAGGAUUCAAGCAGAAAAGCAAGUAAAACCUUGGCAAACGAUGCUCACCGAAAAGAAGCAAACGACGCAUCGGUGCAUUGGCAUUCGUUUUUAAGACCUACGUUUUAGCAAAUCCCGAGGAAAGGUGAAACGAGCGAAGAAAUAAACUUUCAUAAAGGCACGGUGAAUACACCCAAAGGAAACUAUAAAAAUGAACGAAAAAAUAGAAAAGGGCAAACAAAAGGGAAGCAGGAAAGAGAAGAUAAAGGUGUGUAAACGAUGAGGAAAGGGAGGAAGGUGGAAGCACGUCUAGCGAUUCGCGACAGAAAACGAACUUUGGGGUUUCGUAGCGCUCUCGCUGCUUGUUGCUGCUGGCGUGAUUCAAAUUUAAAGCGAUGUUUACCCUCCGAUCUAUGCGCAGCACACCCCACAACGCAACUAAUGCGAGCUACAUGGUUGCGUGCAUGGAUUUCGAGAUUCUCUAUGACUUUAUUCUAUAUCUGCUUCUUAGAUAAUAAUUGAGAAGCUGGAAUGAUAGAUGGUGUAAAUAUUAAAAAGCUGAAGUCGAUUCUGUCAACGUCAUACGAUUUAUUAAGAAUAUGGUCAUAAAACGUACAGUAAAAUAAAAUUUGAUAUAAGCUACAUUAAUCGAAUGGUGUGACGUGUGAUAAUGAAAUUAGAAGUUUGAUAAUUAUAAAUGUAACUAUGAAAUCUUUGUGAAACAAUAUGUUUGAAUUUGCUUUGACACGUCACAUACGAAAAUCUGAUUUUUUCAUCUUACAGUAAAAACCUACGAACGAGAGAUCGAAAUACGUGGAACUAUUAAACUUUUUAAAACGGCAAGCUUCGACUUUUCUCUUCCCUACAAUUACUAACGAUACGUAGAUACUUUCGAUGAAACCAACGUUGCCUUUUAUCCUAAUCAAAACAUGACCACCUAUUUCUAUUUCGUUCCCAUUACACCGUUUUAAUCGUAGUUACUCGUAUAGUAUUUAAAUCCAAAUUGGAUACCUGUUGGUCAAGCGCUAAUCUCGAUAUACAAUUUUUACCUAUUACGAUCAAUGUACAUUAGGAAAACGAAACGUUCGCUCCUAUAAGAUUCUACUUUCAAAGAAAAACAACUUCCGAAUUCUUCCAAACAAAUAAAAAAUAAAAAAAAAAUAAAAAAGGAGAAAAAGCUGAGCGAAAAAGGAAAGGGAAGCGCAAAAAGGCCAAACUUGGAAGGAAACGAAAUUAUCUCCACUUUACCAUACAAGCUCAGAGGCAUUAACCUGUCAUUUAAACCAUCAACAUUGUACCACACGGGUUGCGCUCCGAAUCACGCGAUCGAAAAAGAAAGCGAAGCGAAACGGCCAACCUGGCGGUCCCUUAAAUUACUUUUUUACCCCUGAAGCGUACUUACAAACUGGACUACGGUCGAGUUACGAAACAGAUCGCAAAUCUUACACACGGUUCCUUGUCAACCGGGCGGCCGAUGAUCCGUCGAAUAUUUAACGGCGAUGAUAAACGGGCCAAGCUCGAUUAAAGGUAAUCGUCGAUCGGUGGACUCACACCUGUAUUCCCGGUAAUAGACGGUUGUCCGUCCCUGCGGACAAGACCGGUAGCCGGAGCGUACACGCCCAUCGUACGAACGGCCCGUUUCUCUCCCCUUGCGAUCCAACAACACGCCGUGUACACGGCAAUCCGUGGCGAUACCAAGGUAUGCGAGCUGCCUCGCGCUUAUGCAUGCUCGCAGCAUCUGUUGCUACAAGACAGACGUUCCCGGCAUUACGUUACGAGUUACGACGUUACGAUCUCCGUAGCCUACAGUGGGCCACAUAUGCCGCUUCAAAGAACACGUGUGCAUCUCGACUGGAUCUCGUGCGACGACCACCACGUUCCUCGCACGCUUCCACGCUGAUUUUUGAUCGUUAUCCUGUUUUUCUUCACUCCCUUCUUUUUUCGCUUAAUGUUGAGAUUUGGCUACUAAUUGGCCAUUUUGUGAAAUUAAUCGAUGUUCCAAAGUUUUGUCGUAUUUCUGUUUCCUGUCUUUAUCGUCCAUCUUUUUUUGAUCGCGAUGGUUUUUAAUCGAUCAUCGUUUAAUCGAAAUUAAUUGAUGCAUUUGUAAUACUUUGAUUUUUCUGCAUUCUUCCAGUGUUAAAGAUGGGCCCAUUAAACAUUGAUAUAACGAUUAAACGAACGUUCGAAUGCUUUGAUAACCUCGGCUAAAUAUAUGCUCGUAAUACGUAUCUUGCAACUUCAAUACAUAUUUUUGUAUCGGUUUCGAGUUUUACCAAUGCAAUCGCGAUAGUCGCGUCUCGUUACAGUGCCAAGGAAAUUUGAAAUACACGCAAUAUGUUCGUAAAAUAUUUCUAUAAUUGUUCGAAUACUUUGGCGAACCGCUAUGUAUCCAGUACACAGGUGUCCUAUUUACAUCAAUCAGAAAAUGUAUCUGAUUCGACGCAUUAAACUCUACCACUGGCAAUUCUCUUCCGUUUGGUAAAGUAUCGAGCUCGGUUUCUUUUCGCUCGUAAAGAUACACGGCACGGUGUAUCAGUACAGUAAACUACACUGUUUGGAGGUAAAGCUUUCCGCGAGGCUGCUGAUACGCGUGAACCCGACGUGGCCGUUCGUAUCAGCUUUGUCAAACGUCGAGUUCAAGGUGGAGACCGUUCUGACAGUCAUCGUCGUUCGUUUCUAUUUUUCUCGUUUUUCCAGGGACAUUUGCCCUGUUAUCGUGUGUUCAACGACACGGGAACAGGCGUCGUUUACGACGUACGUACUUACACGAAAUACCGGGUUCCCCCGAACCGAGCAAUCAACGAAUCUCGUUCUACUUAAUGCGUUUUAAAUACAGCGACGCCGCGACGGUCGUUUCGCUGUUGUGCAAGUUGCCAGCUGAUAACGACGCCGGACGCCUUGUAAUGGGUCCACAUGUAAAUUACAACGCUGCAACUCUUUUCCUGCCGUUUACCUUCUCCUCUUGUUUUCCUGUUUUUCUCUUUUUUUUUUUUUUUUAUGACGCAGGGUAUAGAAUACACAAUUUAUAAAAUUGCUGAAUCGUAGCUUUUAAGGCGUGACAUGUUACGUUUUCCUAUUAACCGUUUCAGUUUCAAUUUGUUCAGAUGAAAAGAUUGAACGUGAAACUGCAAGUUCCAUGUAUACUCCCUCGAAAGUUUACAGCAAUCUUUGCCGUUAGAACGUAACGAACUUUCUUUGUAUAUUCUUCUGAGAAAUAAAGCUGUUGUAAUUAUAACGUUCGUUCUUCAAUAUAAUCUUAAUUUACAUAUCGUAGAAGAAUAAUAUUUCGCGAAUAAAAUGCGUAUUUAUCCAGCGAAACGAGCCAUUAUUUCUUUUGAAAUGCUCCCAUGCUCUGCAAAUAUAAUACGUCCUCUUUGA